rnacentral:rRNA from 6 species
UUGUCUCAAAGAUUAAGCCAUGCAUGUCUAAGUACAAGCCUCACUAAGGUGAAACCGCGAAUGGCUCAUUAAAUCACACCUAAUCUACUGGAUAGUCAACAGUUACUUGGGUAACUGCGGUAAUUCUGGAGCUAAUACAUGCACAAAGCCCCGAACUUACGUGAGGGGUGCUUUUAUUAGAUCAAAACCAAACGGCUUCGGCUGUUCUCUUGGUGACUCUGAAUAACUUUGGGCUGAUCGCAUAGCCUAGCGCUGGCGACAUAUCCUUCGAAGGUGUGCCCUAUCAACUGUCGACUGUGGCAUAGACGCCCACAGUGGUUUUGACGGGUAACGGGGAAUCAGGGUUCGAUUCCGGAGAGGGAGCCUUAAAAACGGCUACCACAUCUAAGGAAGGCAGCAGGCACGCAAAUUACCCAAUGACCGAAGGUCGAGGUAGUGACGAAAAAUAACGAUACGGGACUCAUCCGAGGCCCCGUAAUCGGAAUGAUUACACUUUAAAACCGUCCCAGAGGACCCAUUGGAGGGCAAGUCUGGUGCCAGCAGCCGCGGUAAUUCCAGCUCCAAUAGCGUAUAUUAAAGUUGUUGUGGUUAAAAAGCUCGUAGUUGGAUCUCGGCAGUCCGAGGGCGGUUCGCUUGCUAGUGUUACUGCCUUAUGGACUGUAGUUUUGCCAGAGGUCUCUGGGUGCUCUUAACCGAGUGUCCAGUGAUGCUGGCAGGUUUACUUUGAAAAAAUUAGAGUGCUCAAAGCAGGCUUUCACGCCUGAAUAUUCGUGCAUGGAAUAAUGGAAUAGGAAGUCGUUUCUAUUUUGUUGGUUUUCGGAAAUCGACUUAAUGAUUAAUAGGGACAGUCGGGGGCAUUUGUAUUCAAACGACAGAGGUGAAAUUCUUGGACCGUUUGAAGACAAACUACUGCGAAAGCAUUUGCCAAGAAUGUUUUCAUUAAUCAAGAACGAAAGUUAGAGGUUCGAAGGCGAUUAGAUACCGCCCUAGUUCUAACCAUAAACGAUGCCAGCUAGCGAUCUGCCGACGUUUUUUUUGUAGACUCGGCAGGAAGCUUCCGGGAAACCAAAGCAUUUGGGUUCCAGGGGAAGUAUGGUUGCAAAGCUGAAACUUAAAGGAAUUGACGGAAGGGCACCACCAGGAGUGGAGCCUGUGGCUUAAUUUGACUCAACACGGGAAAUCUCACCAGGCCCGGACACUGGAAGGAUUGACAGAUUGAUAGCUCUUUCUUGAUUCGGUGGGUGGUGGUGCAUGGCCGUUCUUAGUUGGUGGAGUGAUUUGUCUGGUUAAUUCCGAUAACGAACGAGACUCUGUCCUGCUAAAUAGUGUCGGCCUCUGUUUUGGGCAGACAAUUCUUCUUAGAGGGACUGGCAACUCUUAGUUGUACGAGAUUGAGCAAUAACAGGUCUGUGAUGCCCUUAGAUGUUCUGGGCCGCACACGCGCUACACUGAAUAGAUCAACGUGUUGUCCCUCUGCGAGAGCAUCGGGUAAACCGCUGAACCCUAUUCGUGGUAGGGAUCGGGGCUUGCAAUUGUUCCCCGUAAACCAGGAAUUCCCAGUAGGCGCAAGUCAUAAGCUUGUGUCGAUUACGUCCCUGCCCUUUGUACACACCGCCCGUCGCUACUACCGAUUGAACGUUUUAGUGAGGUCCUCGGACUGUUUGGUUGGCGAA